rnacentral:rRNA from 1 species
UACGUAGGGUGCAAGCGUUGUCCGGAAUUAUUGGGCGUAAAGAGCUCGUAGGCGGUCUGUCGCGUCUGCUGUGAAAACUCAGGGCUUAACCCUGAGCUUGCAGUGGGUACGGGCAGACUAGAGUGCGGUAGGGGAGACUGGAAUUCCUGGUGUAGCGGUGAAAUGCGCAGAUAUCAGGAGGAACACCGGUGGCGAAGGCGGGUCUCUGGGCCGUAACUGACGCUGGAGGAGCGGAAAGCAUGGGGGAGCGAAC